UACGGGGGGGGCAAGCGUUGUUCGGAAUUACUGGGCGUAAAGGGCUCGUAGGCGGCCAACUAAGUCGGACGUGAAAUCCCCAGGCUCAACCUGGGAACUGCGUCCGAUACUGGAUGGCUUGAAUCCGGGAGAGGGAUGCAGAAUUCCAGGUGUAGCGGUGAAAUGCGUAGAUAUCUGGAGGAAUACCGGUGGCGAAGGCGGCAUCCUGGACCGGCAUUGACGCCGAGGAGCGAAAGCCAGGGGAGCAAACGGG
rnacentral:rRNA from 1 species